rnacentral:lncRNA from 1 species
AUACUUUUGUUACUCCUGCAUCGAAGAUCUUUUCUUCUCCAGUUGAGUUCGAGUGCGUAUUUCCUCAGUGAAAUCGCCAUUUCCUGUUUGGUUCAAGCAUUUCUGCUUUGUUCUAAUUUACCUGUUUCCCCUGCAGAUUUUCCCAUAUAUCUCCGACUGAUUCUUUUCAUUGAUUUAUUUUCAUGGUAUCCCUCGUGUCCCCCAACAGGUUUAAGUCGUAG